AUUGAACGCUGGCGGCAGGCCUAACACAUGCAAGUCGCGCGAGGGGCGGAGGGGUGAGUAAUGUAUGGGGGUCUGCCUGAUGGAGGGGGAUAAGUACUGGAAACGGUAGCUAAUACCGAAUACCAUCAUCUGGACCCAUUUGGGAUUAGCUAGUAGGUGAGGUAACGGCUCACCUAGGCGACGAUCCCUAGCUGGUCUGAGAGGGUGAUCAGCCACACUGGGACUGAGACACGGCCCAGACUCCUACGGGAGGCAGCAGUGGGGAAUAUUGCACAAUGGGCGAAAGCCUGAUGCAGCCAUGCCGCGUGUAUGAAGAAGGCCUUCGGGUUGUAAAGUACUUUCAGUCGGGAGGCGUUACCGACAGAAGAAGCACCGGCUAACUCCGUGCCAGCAGCCGCGGUAAUAC
rnacentral:rRNA from 1 species